GGAUUCGAGAACAAUUCAUUAUUUAUUGAAAGCAACACCGAAUGACAAGGAUAACAACGAUGAUGACAAUCAUGGCAAGAACCAUAAUAGUUAUCGUUGCUUAUUUAUUACAUCAUUCCACAGAUAGGAACACGAGCCAGUGCAUACACUUAGUUAGGCAAUGAGCAGUGAAUCCCAAUAGCGUCAAUGGCUGUACCAGCUCGCCCAAAGAAGCCCAGAAUCCUACUCCCCUCCUCUAAAGUAAGGGCGAAAGAAGAGCCAGUCUUGUUUCCGACACUUAUGGAUGCACCCUUGUUAGUAUCAAGAGUAAGCAACAUCACAAUUGCAUGUCGCUGAUAAUUGGAUAAUGCAUGAAAAUAUCCGGAGAUAGAAGUGAAGUACUCGUCCUCCUCAAGGAUGAUCUGCAAAAAACGAUCAAGGAUUUAACGAGAAACAAACAAUGGGAAAAAGAAAACUAAUUGAAACACAUCUAAUAUUGCAAUGUAUUUUCAAGAGAAAUUGGUUUGACUACCAAACGUGUUGCUAGAAAACAUUCAGCUGGUUGAACCAGUUUAUAUGGUUGGACAAAGACACGAAGUUGAUGAGUGUGUAUUUAUAUACACAUAGAUGUAUAGAUAUACCUCCUUGGAAGCGCCGGUGGUGGUUCCACGUUUGUAGGUGUGGGAAUUACCGUUAAGAAUGUAGGUAAUCUCCAACCCCACAAUGUUAUCUCCGUAAUAGAUUCGAAGUUUGGUAAUGUGGUCGGCUUGUCCCAUAUCCCACGCAUUCCCUCCGUUGCCACCCCAUGGCCCCACCUUCACCAUUCUCCCCUGCGUGCAUCAGAAUAAACACCACAUGUCAUCCAUCCAUCUAUGUUGUAGUAUACGAGCAAGUGUAGUUGAAGAAGUGAGAAAAGGGAUGGAAUUUUGAAGACUAACAACGCCACUCACCAUAUUAGCAGCAACUGAUGGUUACAGCAAGUAAGAAUUGCACUCCCUAUCAAGAAUAUGAGGUGUGAUUACGAAAAAUCUAUCAAGAAUAAUAAAAAAUUUUGACUAUUUUGAAGAUGUUAGAUGACGAACCUAGUAAAUAUUUUGACUCUUUAUGGCAAAUAUACCGAAUCAAAUCUCAUCGUUGCCACUUACAUUUAUUUAGAAAAAGAAAAAAAAAUAUUGUGACAAUGACCCUAUGAAUGAGAAAGUGUUCGCGCAAGAGUUCUGGGUUCGAACAUGAACAUGAGUUACAAUAGCUUGUAGUGACUCUUGAGAGCUCAAAAUGAGAUCAUCUAUGCUCACACUACUCGUUCCCCUACUUUUCUUUUUCGUAAAAUUAUGGCAUGCAUUUUGGCUAAUGACAAGGUUCAAAAACUUGAUAGGUCUGUUCAACAGAUAAGUUAUAUAUAAAUUCAAUGGACAAAACCUUAUUAAGAAUGGUUCAAACUUAACUGUGAUGGUUCCUUUAUUGGAAUAGAUGGUGGUUUAGAAUAUGUUUUGCAUGAUUUACUCACCGUGUUACCUUUAUUGGUGGCAGAUAAAUACAAUAGAAAGACAUGUUCUAUGAAGUGCGACAGCAAUCUGAGAUGGUUUGAAAGCGGCUUCACGAAAUGACAUUCGACAUACAUCAUAAAAUCGAACUUUGAAUUCAUUAUACCACUUCGAUGCAACUUCAUUGUACCAUGGACCCAUAGCACAAUUUUGAGGACUACAGGUUUAUUCAUGUAUAUGAGGAGUACAACCAUGGUGUCCAUUUGGUUGGCCAAUCACUUUAAAGUAACGAAAUCUUUCACAUUUUGAAAGAAGGGAGUGACCCAUGGAAUGUUUUUCAUUUAUAGGUUAGAUGUUCAAGAAUAAAUUAUACUAUACGAAAUCGAUCUUUUUUUACUUUGGACAAAAAAAUUUUCAUUACCCCAAUCAAAUCAUCAAGUAUAUCACAAGAACGAUUAUCAUGAUGAUAUAUUAUUGGUAUGUAUGUGAAGUGACACACGAAUACAAGGUAUGCAAGUACCGAUUAGAUUCAAGUAUCAUUAUAUCGUCAAUUAGCAUUCAAUAACCAAUGGACCCAUAGCAUAUUUCUUGGUUUAUUCAAAGAAUCACAACAAGGAUGACAACAACAAUUGCUAGCACUUAUUUAUCACAACAACCGAGCAAUUACAUUGCAGCAUCCCGAUGUUGAGAAAUAAUUUAUAGAAAGUUAUUUAGAUAGUUGUUAUGUUUUAGAUAGUUAUAGUCAUGUUCUACCUAAUGGCCUAUGAUCUAAAAAUUAUAGGGGUAGUUUGUACACCUAACUCAAUCAUGGGUGACAUGAUAGGGUGAGGUAGUUGCUACUAGGUCAUAUAAAUAUGACCAUAGUUCAUGAAGGUAAUAUGCACUUACGAAUAUCUUUUAAGUGUUCUUCGUCUUACCUCUUACUUAAUACUAUUUCGAUUUCCUUGAUGAAAAGCAUUCUCUUUUAAUUACAUCGUAGUAUUCUAUUUUUAUCAUCCUUGCUCCUCCAUCCCUAACAUUCAUGGUCUUAAAGUUAUGUUUCAAUCUGAACUAGGCAUUAUGACUUUCAAUGGUAAUUCUAUGUCUCUAACUCUUUAUUCUCAUCUUUUUGGACAAACACUAUAAAUUUUGAAGUAUCAAGAUGAAGACUCUAUUCAAGUCUCAAGAUCUUUGAGAAUAUGAACAAAUGCUUUACACCCAAAGACUCUCAAAUGAUUAUAAGAUAUAUAUUUUCCUUUCUAUACUUUCUUUGGAACAUCACCUUUCAGAUGAACUGAUGGAGAAAGAUUUAUCAGGUCAAUUGUAGUUCUCGUAGCCUCCCCCCAAAAUGACUUCGGUAAUUUGGCAUGGGAAAGCAUACACCUAAUCCUUUCUUCAAUGGUUCUGUUCAUCCUUUCUGCCACACCGUUCUGCUGAAGAGUUUUUGAAACUGUUUUUUCAAGCCUGAUAUCAUGAAACCUACAAUAAUUCUCAAAAGGACCCCUGUACUCGCCACCAUUAUCUGAUCGAACACAUUUUAACUUGUUGUUAGUUUCUUUUUCAACACUGACAUGAAACUCCUUGAAAACAUCGAGUAUCUGAUCUUUAGAUUUCAAAGCAAAAGCUCACACUUUUUUAGAAUGGUCAUCAAUAAAAGUAACAAAAUAAAGAGCACCUCCAAGAGUUCUAGUUUGCAUAGUACAGACAUUAGUAUGAAACAAAUCAAUAACAUCUAAUUUUCUAGAUGAUGGAUAUGUAUGAAAGGCAACUCUAUGUGUUUUUUCAACUAAGCAAUGAUCACAAGAUUUAAGAGAUGUACCUUGCAACUCUAGUAAAAACUGCUUUCUAGCAAGAGUUUGAAGUCAUUUCUCGCUGAUAUGACCAAGCCUCUUGUGCCAAAGAUCUAUACUUUCACCUUUUUGAAUUGCAUUAAUCUCUCCUUUGUUUAGCUCAGCUUCCAUGACAUAAAAAGAGUUAAGCUUCUUUCCUCUUGCCAUAAUUAGAGAACCUUUAGUGAGUUUCCAUUUGCUUUCACCAAAAUAAUGUGCAAAGCCCUCAUCAUCAAGUUUGUCUGUAGAUAUCAAGUUAAGACAAAUAUCUGGAACAUGCCUUAUAUCUUUGAGUAUCAAUUUGCUCUCAAUACUGGUCUCCAAGCAAAUAUCUCCAAUACCCACAAUCUUAAAUAUACCACUGUUUCCCAUUCUGACAUUACCAAAAUCACCAGCAGUGUAAGUUCUGAAUCUGAAAAAAUCACCAUGAAAAGUAACAUGAAAUGAAGCACUAGAAUCAAUUACCUAGUUACUUACCUGAGCUACAAGACUGACAUAACCGUCAUCACAAACAAUAGUGAUAUUAUCUUCAGUAGCAACUGUAUUGGUCUCUUUCUCAUUUUUCUUCCAUUCAUUCUGUUUUGGCUUCCGAAACCUACACUCUUUCUUCAUGUGACCUGGCAUGUUACAAUGAAAAUAUUUGAUGUAUUUUCUAGACUUGGAUCUUCCUCUAUAACCAUGUGGAUUUCUGCUAUGACUUCUUCCACGUCUUUCUUGUUUUUCAGUAACAAAUGCACCAGAAGAAGAUUUAUCCUGUUUUCCUUCUGGCAUCUUCAUUUAGCAAACUAUCUUUAACCAUAUCUAUAGUUAGAGUCCCCUCUGGCGUGGAGUUACAAAUUGUCAACACAAACGUUUCCCAACUUUCUGGUAAAGAGCUGAGAAGUAGUAAUCUUUACAUCUCAUCAUCUAUAUUCAUUUUCAUAGCAACAAGCUUGUUUACAAGACUCUGAAAUAGACUUAUGUGCUCAACAAUAUUACCAUCAUCUUUAUACUUCAAAUUUACAAGUCUUUUGAGGAGAGAAAUUCUAUUUUCCAUUGUCUUUUUCGCAAAGAGAUUUUCUAACCUUUGCCAAACAACAUCAGCUCUGGUUUCAUCAAAAAUAUUCUCAUGCAAGUUUAUAUCCAUCCAUCUUCUAAUAUAUGCAAUAACUUUUCUAUGUUGAACUUCUUAUUCAUCAUCAUUCAUAGUAGAAGGUUUAUCUUUAACCUUGAUGGGCUUAUACAAAUCUUUGCAAUAAAGUAAAUCUUCAAUCAUAUGUCUCCAAGUGGAAUAAUUUGAUGAGUUCAAUUUAAUCAUACCAUAUGACUAUUCCAUUUCAAUCACAUAAGAAAAACUAGCACCAAAUAACCUGUUGCUCUGAUAUCACUUGUUGGGAAAAACCUGUUAAAGCGAAAUAAUUCUUUUCCCUCUUUGUGUAUCAAAAUGGGUUCCUCAUCAAAAUAUAAACUUAAUAUCAAAAUAUAAAUAUCAACCAGCACAGCAUAAACAAUAUAGCAAUAAAUCAAUCAUACAAUGAGACCAAAUAAUUAACGUGGAAAACCAAAUGUGGGAAAAAUCACGGGACCGUAGUCCACCUUAAACUUCCACUAUCAAUAGUAAUGAUAAUAGGUUUACAGUAAAUCUUCUUCUAGAAUAACUAGAGGAUCAUAAUAACAUCAAGAAUAUAGAUCUUGGCUCAAGAAUAGCAUAUCAUCGUCACAUAGGAUUGAUCUCAUCAAAAGAGAAUUAUAGGUCUCAUAAAAUGGAUAUAGCAGGAAAGUACCUUAGAGAGGGUAAACUGUAGAUCAACACCGUUAGGAUUGUAGAGCUUGCUGCAAGGAUUCUUUGCAUCAAAAUUUGGGCCCAAACACAACAUUUGGCUACUGAUCGUCAAGCAGAAAACCAAAAAUCCUAAUCUUUCUCUCUCUCUGCGUGGCCUCGCUUCUGCACGCAUUCGCUCUCUCGUUUUUCUCUCUCUGCGUGCCGCCGCUGCAGCACGCGUUCGCUCGCUCCUCGCUGCUGUCUAUCUCUCUCUUUCUCAUUCACUGUCCUAUAUCUCUUUUGUCUUUUAAUUAAUGAUUUAGGCUCAUGACCCAAAUUGUCCAAACCCACAUAGGCUGGACCCAACAGAAUGCAACAACGUUUUGCAAUGGUCCAAGAAUCAUGAUCGAUCAAAAACUAAAGACGCUAUUUUGCUAGCAUUUCAUCGUCAUAUGUUGAGAAAGGUUAAGGAAUACGUGGUUUGCUUUCUCCCAUCAUCAUGUGCCAAGAGAUCUUAUGGAAUACGUAGUUCACUUCAUCUCUUUGUUGUAUUACUCAUCUAGUAGCUUACUAAUUCUCCUAAUUAUUGCCAGAUAAGAGCCACAGAUCCCAUUAUGAAAAGCACGCCAAGUAAUCGUAAGAUAUCAAAGUGGAUUCGAAAACAUUUCAUUAUUUAUUCAAAGCAACACCGAUUGAGAAGGAUGACAACGAUGAUGGCAAUCAUGGCAAGCACCAUAAAUUGUUAUCGUUGCUUAUUUAUUACACCAUUCGAUAGAUAGGAACACGAGCCAGUGCCAGUGCAUACACUUAGUUUGGCAAUGAGCAGUGAAUUCCAAUAGCGUCAAUGGCUGUACCAGCUCGCCCAAAG
rnacentral:lncRNA from 1 species